rnacentral:pre_miRNA from 1 species
ACAUCAUUAGGACCGUCGGUCUACCGAGCAAUAUCACCCGCUCGGUGGAAGCCUUUGUCAU